GGACUACUGGGGUAUCUAAUCCUGUUUGAUCCCCACGCUUUCGUACCUCAACGUCAGUAUUAGUCCAGAAAGUCGCCUUCGCCACUGAUGUUCCUCCCGAUAUCUACGCAUUUCACCGCUACACCGGGAAUUCCACUUUCCUCUACUAUACUCAAGACACCCAGUAUCGAAUGCAAUUCCCAGGUUAAGCCCAGGGAUUUCACAUCCGACUUAAGAAUCCGUCUACGCACGCUUUACGCCCAAUAAUUCCGAUUAACGCUUGCACCCUCUGUAUUACCGCGGCUGCUGGCAC
rnacentral:rRNA from 1 species